rnacentral:rRNA from 1 species
UUGAAAGGGAAACGAUUGAAGUCAGUCAUGCUGGUGGGAAUCAACUUAGGGGAAACUCUAGGUGCACUUCUUCGCUUGGCAGGUUAACGUCGAUCUUGAAUGCCAUAAAAUAAUUGGGGGAAGGUAGCUCUUUCGGGAGUGUUAUAGCCCUUGGUAGAUGUGAUGUCUGGGAUCGAGGAUUGCAACGGAUACCCUUUGGGGCUAGCCGCCUGAUCUCUAAUCGGUGUUGGGUUACGGAUAGCAUGCUGACCGUGAUCUAAUUACUGGUUAAAAGGUUAGAGUGUGCAUAAAUUCGUUAAGGAUGUUGACGUA